rnacentral:lncRNA from 1 species
UUUGACCAAAUAUAUUCACUUUAUCCAAAGUCUCACAUUUCUUCCAUUCAUCAUCAACUUCACCUUCAAAAAGUUUAAAAUCAUUAUAAUUAUUAACCACAUUUAUAAAAUUAUUAUUCUUCAAUAUUUUUUGUCUUAUCUUCUUUUUUCUCUUGAUUCGAACUUUUGUUACUUUUUCUUUCUAUUUUGAUUGGAAUCUUUAUUUUUCUUUCUUCCUCCAUUAACCAAAAC